UGCGUAGGCGGGUUUCUAAGUCAGAGGUGAAAGCCUGGAGCUCAACUCCAGAACUGCCUUUGAUACUGGAAGUCUUGAGUAUGGCAGAGGUGAGUGGAACUGCGAGUGUAGAGGUGAAAUUCGUAGAUAUUCGCAAGAACACCAGUGGCGAAGGCGGCUCACUGGCCCGAUACUGACGCUGAGGCACGGAAAGCGUGGGGAGCAAAACA
rnacentral:rRNA from 1 species